UAAAUGCUCAAGGGUCUCUUCAUCUUCCUGAUAUAUGGGGUGUACAACACAGAGGCUGAACUCUUAAGGGAAGUAUAUUUGAAGGAGGAGAAAGUAUAGGUGUUUUAUCUUAUAUCUUAAGGUAUUUAUCUGGUGUCUUCUAUUACAUCCAAUUAUUUAUUUAUACGUUUAUAUGUUUAUUUGUUUAUACGUUUAUGCUUAAGGUAAAGGAAGUGUUAAUGUGUUUAAUUCCACGUUUUUAAGGUACCUCUGCAGUUUAUAUUUUAAUAAGGAUUUGGAAUUCAGUAAUAACCCCUAUAGAAAUAUAUAGAUAUAGAAAUAUAGAAAUGUAGACAUAUAGAAAUGUAGACAUAUAGAAAUGUAGACAUAUAGGCUUUCGAAGUCGAUAGCUGUAAGCGUAACGGAAUUUUAUUCGGAUUUUAUUAGCACUGAAGGGGGCACGGCCCCUUAGAGAGAUGCUGAAAGCGAAAAGCAUCUCCUGAUGAUUGUCCAACACCCGAAGCUGCUUCAGAACACGGAUUUUCCAUCCC
rnacentral:lncRNA from 1 species